rnacentral:tRNA from 1 species
AGCCGCUAUGGUGAAAUGGUAGACACGACGCUCUUAGGAAGCGCUGCGAGAGCAUCUCGGUUCGAGUCCGAGUAGCGGC